ACUACCUUCUCCCCCCUCCUUGAGAAUAUCAUGGCAUGUUCGUUAACGAGUUGCUAUUGAUGCAAACUUCUCAAGCAUGAAGUGAUCGUUAAUUCCUGAGCAUGUGACAGACUAAUUAAGCUGAAGGUUCAUUGUUAGUGUAUCAUGGCUUUUUUUUUUCUUUCUAUAUUGCAUCAUCAGCUAAUUAAUUUACCUCAAAGGGUGAAGCCAUCUCCCUCUCGGAAUCUCUAAUAACAGUCCUGCAAUGCCAUGCAUGUUGUCUCUUAGCCAUACUUGUAAUAAACUUGAUUUUUUAUAAGUAUUGUUUUAGUUAAUUUUGGUGAA